UCCGGCUUGUCACCGGCAGUUUCCUUAGAGUGCCCAACUCAAUGAUGGCAACUAGAAGCAGGGGUUGCGCUCGUUGCGGCACUUAAGCCAACACCUCACGGCACGAGCUGACGACAGCCAUGCAGCACCUGUGCUAGCCCCUUUCGGACACGGGCUUUCACCCGCUUUAACUAGCAUGUCAAGCCUAGGUAAGGUUCUUCGCGUUGCAUCGAAUUAAGCCACAUGCUCCGCCGCUUGUGCGGGCCCCCGUCAAUUCCUUUGAGUUUCAUCGUUGCCGACGUACUCCCCAGGUGGCAUACUUACUGCGUUAACUGCGGCACCGGCCCCAACGGGCCAACACCUAGUAUGCAUCGUUUACAGCGUGGACUAC
rnacentral:misc_RNA from 1 species